UAAAAUACUGAAGUUUAUUUCUGGAAACAUAAGUAGUUACAUUUACAUUAUGUGUAGCACACUGUCUUUCCAAAUGUCACCCAACUCCACACACCGAAUUCAGAGCAGAGUAUCCUCGGAGAGUGGGGGCAUUGACUUGAGGAAAACGAUGGAAGCGUUUCAAUGUAUAUGUGAUGAUGCCUUGUGUAUUUCAGAAAAUAAAGAAGUGUGGAAAAAUACUGUGUUUGGGAUUUAGGUGGUGAGUACCUAGAGGCUCUAUGUUGUUCUCUGUACUAUUCUGUGAGUUCUAACCAAGAAUAAAUAAAUAACAAAUUACUGUUAUUUAUUGACAGCAGGGGCUGUCACUGCUGGGGUCUCAGUGCCAGGGGUGUCAGUGCUGCGGACAUCAAUGUUGGGGUGUCAGUGCUGGGGACGUCAGUGUUGGGGUGUCAUGCUGGGGACAUCAGUGUUGGGGUGUCAGUGCUGGGAGUCUCAGUGUUGGGGAUGCCAUUGCUGGGGGUGUCAGUGCUGGAGGUAUGAGUGCUGGGGGUGUCAGUGCUGGGGGUCUCAGUGUUGGGGGUGUCAGUGCUGGAGGUAUGAGUGCUGGGGGACUCAGUGUUGGGGUAUUAGUGCUGGGAGUGUCAGUGCAGGGCUGUCAGUGAUGGGGGCUCAGUACCUGGGUUGUC
rnacentral:lncRNA from 1 species